rnacentral:rRNA from 1 species
AGAGUUUGAUCCUGGCUCAGGAUGAACGCUAGCUACAGGCUUAACACAUGCAAGUCGAGGGGCAUCAGGAAGAAAGCUUGCUUUCUUUGCUGGCGACCGGCGCACGGGUGAGUAACACGUAUCCAACCUGCCCUUUACUCGGGGAUAGCCUUUCGAAAGAAAGAUUAAUACCCGAUAGUAUAAUGAUUCCGCAUGGUUUCAUUAUUAAAGGAUUCCGGUAAAGGAUGGGGAUGCGUUCCAUUAGGUUGUUGGUGAGGUAACGGCCCACCAAGCCUUCGAUGGAUAGGGGUUCUGAGAGGAAGGUCCCCCACAUUGGAACUGAGACACGGUCCAAACUCCUACGGGAGGCAGCAGUGAGGAAUAUUGGUCAAUGGGCGCUAGCCUGAACCAGCCAAGUAGCGUGAAGGAUGAAGGCUCUAUGGGUCGUAAACUUCUUUUAUAUAAGAAUAAAGUGCAGUAUGUAUACUGUUUUGUAUGUAUUAUAUGAAUAAGGAUCGGCUAACUCCGUGCCAGCAGCCGCGGUAAUACGGAGGAUCCGAGCGUUAUCCGGAUUUAUUGGGUUUAAAGGGAGCGUAGGUGGACUGGUAAGUCAGUUGUGAAAGUUUGCGGCUCAACCGUAAAAUUGCAGUUGAUACUGUCAGUCUUGAGUACAGUAGAGGUGGGCGGAAUUCGUGGUGUAGCGGUGAAAUGCUUAGAUAUCACGAAGAACUCCGAUUGCGAAGGCAGCUCACUGGACUGCAACUGACACUGAUGCUCGAAAGUGUGGGUAUCAAACAGGAUUAGAUACCCUGGUAGUCCACACAGUAAACGAUGAAUACUCGCUGUUUGCGAUAUACAGUAAGCGGCCAAGCGAAAGCAUUAAGUAUUCCACCUGGGGAGUACGCCGGCAACGGUGAAACUCAAAGGAAUUGACGGGGGCCCGCACAAGCGGAGGAACAUGUGGUUUAAUUCGAUGAUACGCGAGGAACCUUACCCGGGCUUAAAUUGCAGUGGAAUGAUGUGGAAACAUGUCAGUGAGCAAUCACCGCUGUGAAGGUGCUGCAUGGUUGUCGUCAGCUCGUGCCGUGAGGUGUCGGCUUAAGUGCCAUAACGAGCGCAACCCUUAUCUUUAGUUACUAACAGGUUAUGCUGAGGACUCUGGAGAGACUGCCGUCGUAAGAUGUGAGGAAGGUGGGGAUGACGUCAAAUCAGCACGGCCCUUACGUCCGGGGCUACACACGUGUUACAAUGGGGGGUACAGAAGGCAGCUAGCGGGUGACCGUAUGCUAAUCCCAAAAGCCUCUCUCAGUUCGGAUCGAAGUCUGCAACCCGACUUCGUGAAGCUGGAUUCGCUAGUAAUCGCGCAUCAGCCACGGCGCGGUGAAUACGUUCCCGGGCCUUGUACACACCGCCCGUCAAGCCAUGGGAGCCGGGGGUACCUGAAGUACGUAACCGCAAGGAUCGUCCUAGGGUAAAACUGGUGACUGGGGCUAAGUCGUAACAAGGUAGCCGUACCGGAAGGUGCGGCUG